rnacentral:ncRNA from 1 species
ACAGUUUUGGUCCUGGACUUACCGUUGCUUUUUAUUAAGAUCAUACAUGCAAGUCUCAGCAUACCUGUGAAAAUGCCCAAAACCCCCAAAAAGAAUUAUUGGAGCAGGCAUCAGGCACCACCCACUUUGCCCAUGACGCCUUGUCUUACCACACCCCCACGGGAUUUCAGCAGUAGUAAAUAUUGGGCCAUAAGUGAAAACUUGACCCAACUAUAAUAUUUAGGGCCGGUUAAUUUCGUGCCAGCCACCGCGGUUAUACGAAAAGCCCAAGACAACGGACAAACGGCGUAAAUAGUGACUAGAAACACUUAUUGGGAAAAAAUAUUAAACUCACAGACUAGUUGUAAAACACUUAAGUUGUGGAGGAAGCUCACAAAAAUAUUUUUUUACCUUAUCCCUUUGAUCACACGAAAGCUUAGAAACAAACUAGGAUUAGAUACCCUACUAUGCUAAGCCUUUAACAUUGAUAGUACGCUGUACCCCACUAUCCGCCAGAGAACUACAAGUGAAAAACUUUAAACUCAAAGGACUUGGCGGUGUCCCAUACCGACCUAGAGGAGCCUGUCCUAUAAUCGAUACCCCUCGUUCCACCCAACCUCUACUGGCAACCCCAGCCUAUAUACCGCCGUCGACAGUCUACCCCAUGAGGGUCCAACAGUAGACAUAAUAGCCCACCCACUAACACGUCAGGUCAAGGUGUAGCACAUGUUGAGGAAGAGAUUGGCUACAUUUUUUAUUAUAAAAAACACGAAAUGCAACAUGAAACCCUGCAUGAAGGUGAAUUUAGUAGUAAGAUCAAACAAGAGUGUUUAUCUUAACAUCGCUCUGGGACGCGCACACACCGCCCGUCACCCUCCUCAUCAUACUUAAAGCACUAUAUAAACCAACUUCGGCCUACUAGAGGAGGCAAGUCGUAACAUGGUAAGCGUACCGGAAGGUGUGCUUUGGAUAU